AACGAACGCUGGCGGCAGGCCUAACACAUGCAAGUCGAACGCUCCAGCAAUGGAGAGUGGCAGACGGGUGAGUAACGCGUGGGAACCUUCCCUAUGGUUCGGAAUAGCCCAGGGAAACUUGGGGUAAUACCGGAUAAGCCCUUCGGGGGAAAGAUUUAUCGCCAUUGGAUGGGCCCGCGUCGGAUUAGCUAGUUGGUGGGGUAACGGCUCACCAAGGCGACGAUCCGUAGCUGGUCUGAGAGGAUGAUCAGCCACACUGGGACUGAGACACGGCCCAGACUCCUACGGGAGGCAGCAGUGGGGAAUAUUGGACAAUGGGCGCAAGCCUGAUCCAGCCAUGCCGCGUGAGUGACGAAGGCCUUAGGGUUGUAAAGCUCUUUUGGCGGGGAAGAUAAUGAUGGUACCCGCAGAAUAAGCUCCGGCUAACUUCGUGCCAGCCGCCGCGGUAAGAC
rnacentral:rRNA from 1 species